rnacentral:rRNA from 1 species
GUAGGCGGCCCGUUAAGUCUCUUGGUGAAAGGCCGGGGCUCAACCCCGAGCAUGCCGGGGAUACUGGGUAUCUCGAGUAUGGAAGAGGUGAGUGGAAUUCCGAGUGUAGAGGUGAAAUUCGUAGAUAUUCGGAGGAACACCAGUGGCGAAGGCGGCUCACUGGUCCAUUACUGACGCUGAGGUGCGAAAGCGUGGGGAGCAAACAGG